AAUUUAAAUUCGUUACAAAAAUGUUUUCCAGGGAUAUAAAAUUUUUUCACAAUUAAUUAUAGUAUUGAAAUACUUAACAAUAUCAAUAUAUAUCACUAAAUCUCAAUUACUUUAAUUCGUAAGUCGAACCAAAACAGUUGUAAUUAUUUCACAUUAUUGUGUCGAUAUUGUGUCGAUAAAUCUUAUAACUUAUAAGCAUAUCAGCUAUCAUGCUGGAUGACACCUCUGAAAAAUGGCGGUCAGUCGUAGAUACGCCAUAAGGAUUGAAGCGGCGCGACAGAUUCCAAUGCGUUUGCCUUUGGGUCUGUCGAUCCUCGUCAAAGUUCGUGGGAUUUCGUAUAAAGCUCCGUCACAGCUGCCUGGUGGAAUGGAAGAUGGUGGUCGGAUGAAGAAGGUUGCGGCAGCUGCUGGUCCGAAAACAGCGGAUUCGUAAGCUCGAGCGCGAGUCGUUCAAAAAAACCGAUGCGUGACGUUUGACAGAUCGUCACUAUAACAAAGGGGAAGGCUCUGUUUUUCCACGCUUGUUCUCCUCUCUCGCAUCCUCAGUUGAUUUGAACUUGUAUCGCUUGUCUCUAUCCUUUCGCAUCUCACAACUACAGCUCAAGAACAAAGAUAUCAAGUUGAUGGAUGCUUGUCGGACUAUUUCGAAUUUCUACCUGCUAAAUAUAAUUAAUAUCUUCAUUUUCUUCUCUUCAGUGUAUGGCUAUUCUAAGACUACACGGCUAUUCCAAGGUUGAUGCUGAAAACAUUUUACUCAACGGAAAGGGGACUAUUAAUCACUUUCUGGAUUGCUCUGCUACUGAAGAAAAAAUUGUGAACACAACGAAAUACCUUGAAAGCAGGAUGAACAGAGGUAAACGUACGAAGGACGAUGGAGGGAAGAGUCUAACUGGUCGAAAAUCCAGGAGAACCAUUUUUCUUCUCUACUUGCGGAGAGACUGCGGCCGAAAAAGGAUUGGGAACCACCACAGAUGACGCUUUCUUCCCUCAUCUUUUUCUAUCUCCGAAUCCCAUCUUCCUCUGACGUAUUCUCCCUUCAGAGCUUCGUUCUACGAACGUUUGUAAUCCUCACAUAGGAUAUGCUAUGACCGGAGAAGAAACGGCAGCGCUUUGAUGUGUCACAGGAAUAUGUAUAAUAAGCGCAUAAGUGUUUAAUAGAAAAAAUUGAAGAUGUGUAUGCGUCUGAAAAAUUUAUUCCGCUUUAAAAAAAAUUACAUGCAUCUAUUUUUAUAAGUCUUGCAAUUGUAAUUUUUCUUUCACACGCGAAUCUCACUAAUCAUGUGACUUGUAACAGAUUGCACGACUCAUCUUAUAUACGUUGCGUAAUACUUUUGACAUCACGACGUUGCCACUUUUUUUUCUUUUUUUUUUUCUUUUUGAUCGUGGCAUAUUUUAUAUAAAAAUCACAUAUGAUUCAUAGAACGAAGUUUUGAGGAAAGAAUACGUAUUUUAAAGUUUGCUGCUACUUGCAUUUUACAUACUAAGGAUAUUUAUAAUUAAUUUUUGUGAGAAAACAAAAUGUAUAUACAACGUAAGAGAUACGAAAGAGAUUUUAUCACAAACUUACUGAGCAUUCUCGAUUUAUCGCAUCUAUCAUCGUUCUUGCUUUGACUUCCACGUUCUUUCAUUCGAGGGCCACAGUUUCUCUGAUAUCCUUUAUGUUACUUCGAUAAAUAUAACUAUAAAUCCGCAAAGUGUUGACACAAAAAUUGAAAUACUAAAAGAAAACUUUGCUUUUUUUCGUAUGCUUUUUCUGUUGCUUCAAAAACGAAGUGGGAAAAUCGCCAAAUUGUAGUUAUCGUCCAAUGAAUAAAUUUGAUGAACAGUUGCAACUGUAUCUUUUUCUAAGGAUAUAUUUUUAUACAACAUUACGCGUAAUUUUAUCUCAUUCAAAAUAAUAUAAUAAAAAUAUUGCGAGAACGUACAUAAUUAAUUUAUCAAGAAAUUAUUAAAUGUCAAUACUUUAUUCCUGUAAAUUUAAAGAAACCUGAUUUUAAGGAAAUCUUCGUAGGCAACCUGUCAGAGAUGACGUUAGACAAAAGCGAGAGAGAUAGAAAGAAAGGGAAGCAAAAAAAGAAUGAAUAUUCGAAAGAUGAGGAGAAGCGGAGUUUGAACGCGCAGCAGAGAAGAUCAGAGGGUUUUCGUGGCAGGGUGAUUGGUAGCACCCGUUAGUUUAAUCAUCACGCAUUAGCCUAACUACCCCUUACCCUGAAUUCUAGCCCACUUUCACCCUCGAAUUCCGCGCUACUCAUUCUGUUCGCUCUACGCCGUCCUGUUUGCUCCGUUCUCAUUCAUUUCCUCUUACGUUUUGGU